UACGUAGGGGCAAGCGUUAUCCGGAUUUACUGGGUGUAAAGGGAGUGUAGGUGGUCUGGCAAGUCAGAUGUGAAAGCCCGCGGCUCAACUGCGGGACUGCAUUGGAAACUGUAGAUCUGGAGUGCCGGAGGGGCAAGCGGAAUUCCUGGUGUAGCGGUGAAAUGCGUAGAUAUCGGGAGGAACACCGGUGGCGAAGGCGGCUUUCUGGCCAGUUACUGACGCUCAUGCGCGAAAGCUGGGGUAGCGAACCGGAUUAGAUACCCUGGUA
rnacentral:rRNA from 1 species